rnacentral:rRNA from 1 species
GACGAACGCUGGCGGCGUGCUUAACACAUGCAAGUCGAACGGAAAGGCCCUGCUUUUGUGGGGUGCUCGAGUGGCGAACGGGUGAGUAACACGUGAGUAACCUGCCCUUGACUUUGGGAUAACUUCAGGAAACUGGGGCUAAUACCGGAUAGGAGCUCCUGCUGCAUGGUGGGGGUUGGAAAGUUUCGGCGGUUGGGGAUGGACUCGCGGCUUAUCAGCUUGUUGGUGGGGUAGUGGCUUACCAAGGCUUUGACGGGUAGCCGGCCUGAGAGGGUGUCCGGGCACACUGGGAGUGAGAUACGGGCCCGAGUCCUCUGCGAGGGACAGGAGGGGGAAAUAGUGCAAUGGGGGGAAGAGUCAUGCAGAAAAGCGGCGUGCGGGAUAUGGCGGUUUGCGGUGUAUAAACCGUUUGCCUGUGAGGCAAAGUGAGAGACGGUGAUAGGUAAAGAAAGGCCCGGUCAAUCCGUG